AUUGAACGCUGGCGGCAGGCCUAACACAUGCAAGUCGAACGGUAGCACAGAGAGCUUGCUCUCGGGUGACGAGUGGCGGACGGGUGAGUAACGUCUGGGAAACUGCCCGAUGGAGGGGGAUAACUACUGGAAACGGUAGCUAAUACCGCAUAACGUCGCAAGACCAAAGUGGGGGACCUUCGGGCCUCACACCAUCGGAUGUGCCCAGAUGGGAUUAGCUAGUAGGUGGGGUAAUGGCUCACCUAGGCGACGAUCCCUAGCUGGUCUGAGAGGAUGACCAGCCACACUGGAACUGAGACACGGUCCAGACUCCUACGGGAGGCAGCAGUGGGGAAUAUUGCACAAUGGGCGCAAGCCUGAUGCAGCCAUGCCACGUGUAUGAAGAAGGCCUUCGGGUUGUAAAGUACUAUCAGCGGGGAGGAAGGCGGUGAAGUUAAUAGCUUAACCGAUUGACGUUACCCGCAGAAGAAGCACCGGCUAACUCCGUGCCAGCCGCCGCAGUAA
rnacentral:rRNA from 1 species